CCUACGGGAGGCAGCAGUGGGGAAUAUUGCGCAAUGGGCGAAAGCCUGACGCAGCGACGCCGCGUGAGGGAUGAAGGUCUUCGGAGCGUAAACCUCUGUCAGCAGGGAAGAACGGUCACUGUGCUAAUCAGCAGUGAAUUGACGGUACCUGCAAAGGAAGCACCGGCUAACGCCGUGCCAGCCGCCGCGGUAAUACGGAGGGUGCGAGCGUUAAUCGGAAUUACUGGGCGUAAAGCGCUCGUAGGCGGUAUGUCAAGUCAAGGGUGAAAUCCCCGCGCUCAACGUGGGAACUGCCUUUGAAACUGGCAAACUGGAGUGUGUGAGAGGCUAGUGGAAUUCCAGGUGUAGGAGUGAAAUCCGUAGAUAUCUGGAGGAACAUCAGUGGCGAAGGCGACUAUCUGGCACAUAACUGACGCUGAGGAGCGAAAGCGUGGGUAGCAAACAGGAUUAGAUACCCUUGUAGUC
rnacentral:rRNA from 1 species